rnacentral:misc_RNA from 1 species
GAUGAAGAACGCAGCAAACUGCGAUAAGUAGUGUGAAUUGCAUUUAGUGAAUCAUCGAAUCUUUGAACGCACCUUGCACUCACUGGUAUUCCGGUGAGUACGCCUGUUUCAGUAUCAUUGAAAACACACAAUCAAAACUUUUUUGAUUGACCUUGGGCUUAUUACAGUUUGGUUCAUUCAUUUGGAUCAAGCGGCCUGGAAUAGAUUGUCUGGCUAAUUGCAUCGUUGAUGAUCGCUAUUAGACUUUGGCUUUUUUAAAUGAACUGGAGGUUGAUUAACCAGUUUUAGCUUUAGUCGAAUGGUCAUUGUAAAUCGAUCUUGGUCCAGCGGUUGAGGAUAACCGGAAAACAAAACCAUAACAAUCACUUUUUUCGUAUCGAUCUGAAAUCAGGUGGGACUACCCGCUGAACUUAAGCAUAUCAAUAAGCGGAGGA